UGGGGAAUAUUGCGCAAUGGGGGAAACCCUGACGCAGCAACGCCGCGUGCGGGAUGAAGGCCUUCGGGCUGUAAACCGCUUUCAGCAGGGAAGACAUCGACGGUACCUGCAGAAGAAGCCCCGGCUAACUACGUGCCAGCAGCCGCGGUAAUACGUAGGGGGCGAGCGUUAUCCGGAUUCAUUGGGCGUAAAGCGCGCGCAGGCGGUUGCUCAAGCGGAACCUCUAAUCUCGGGGCUUAACCUCGAGCCGGGUUCCGAACUGGACGACUCGAGUGCGGUAGAGGCAGAUGGAAUUCCCGGUGUAGCGGUGGAAUGCGCAGAUAUCGGGAAGAACACCAACGGCGAAGGCAGUCUGCUGGGCCGUCACUGACGCUGAGGCGCGAAAGCUGGGGGAGCGAACAGG
rnacentral:rRNA from 1 species